GAAUGGAAUCCUAGUGUCUGACCUUGAGCUAAACUGCCCCCAAAGACUCAGUGCCCUCACAUACGGGAUUUGACUACCAUUACCCAAACAUUACCAUAUUCUUUCGGUGUAUUAUGAGUAAAAGUGGCUUUUAUGAAUUGAACUGGAGAUCUGCCAUUUAAAUGUGGUUUCUUUAAGGAAAAAGCUUUGCAUUCCCAACAUAUGGGCUUAGCUGUAAAAAUAAGACUUGUCCUGUGAUCACUCCAUGUGCAAAAGAGGUCUGCCUAAAUGUGGACUGCUUGUACAGUUGGGCCAUUACAGAAAACAGCGGUAAGAAAAGCCCACUGAAGAUGCUCAAUCUGGCAGCAGCCAGUUCUGGCAAAGGCACCAGCUCUCCUCUCAAAUGCUGAUGAGCAGGCACUAUGAAGCACUGAAGGAAUUUUCGGAACAUCAAACGUUUGCUCAUAAAGAGAGCCUUUUGGGUGAUGGUGGUAGGAUUCUGCCACCUGCUUCGACAGAGAUGAAGAGCUUAACACACAAAGAAAGAAAGAAACAAAGUACACGCAAGGCAUCUGUUCUCCCCGAAGAAUUCUGGAUCUCUUCCUUUCCCAGGGCCCCCGAGUCAGGGAUCCAGGCCAAGCUUCCUUGAAUUAUCAGCGCGAUCAAGGAUGACGCUAGAACCACAGUAAAAACUAGGGGCUGGACAAAAAUGAGAAAAACCUGAAGGACUCUGGCCAGAAAGGAGCCCCUUGAACCUGGAGGAGGUGAACGGAGGAUGCCUACGAACACCCACUGCAGGUCACUUCUCCCGCCCCCACUGUACCCGGGUUUCCUGUGUUCUGGGGUCAUUUGCUACAGCUGAGCAGCUGCAGUGCAUGUUUCCACAAGCUGUCCCACCAGAGAUUUCCGGGUCUUUCUGGAAAGGGCCUCACCCCACUCCUGCAAAACAUCUGCCUUGCUGCCACUGGCUUAAGGAUUCCUUUCCCCUGCAUUCCUGUUGGUGAAUGGACUCUCCAGCCUCGAGAGAAACCCCAGCCAUCCUCAACGACCCGCUCCACUUUUGUCCCCUGCCUCGAGGCAGCCCAUCUCCACCACCUGUGUCAUUUGGAGCUGUACGCAUCUGCCACCUCUGUUCCAGCACGAGUGGGGCAGCCUCCCUCCACGGACGGCCAGCCCCCCGGGUCUCCCAGCCUCUCUGGUUCUCCUCUACAACCCUAUCACCACCCCCGGCAUGCUUCCCACUGCUUCUAGAAUACAGUCAAAUAUUCUCCAGUUUGACAGACACAGCUCUUCACAGUCUGGCUCAACCACUGUGACAGCCUGAUCUCCAAAUGCAGGACUGACUACACGAAUUGCAGGGCCUCGUACAAAAGGAAAAACAUGAACAGAAAGAACUUCAGGAUGGCAACCACCGAACAUUAAACUAAGCAAGGUGGGGCCCUUGUAAGUGCGAGGCCCUCAGGCCCCUUCCUAUGUCUCCCUCAAACCCACCCCAGAAGGCAAAAGGCACUACCAUUACCGAUAAAAGCCCUUCUCACCUCUCUUCACCCUCACUGAAACUCGUCCUUCCUCUCAAAGAAGACUUCAAAACGAGGAAACUGGCUCCCAAUCUUUUUUGUUUGUUUGUUUGUUUGUUUGUUUUUAUUGAAAUUCCAGUUAGUUAACUUACAGCGUAAUAUUAGUUUCAGCUGUACAAUAUGGCAAUUCAACACUUCCAUUCGUCGGCCGGUGCUCAUCACAAGUGCCCUCCUUAAUCUCCUCCUCAGCUGCCACCCACUUAAGUGACCCAUUCACGUGCCCCUGACACUGAGCAAUCUGGUCCUCAUUUACAGUAUGGUUAUUUAUUUACCUGUCUCUCCUCCACACCUGAAUCAGACCAACAGUCCCAGGGCUCUGAGUUCACGGCUUAGUCAUUUGUGUGCCCUCCCUUCCCACCUUUCCAGAGCAAGAGUUGGUACACGUGAGGACUACAAUAAAUCUCUACUGAAUGACCACUAGGAAUAUUGCCCUCUCCUUCUAAUGGUCACUUAUGGGGGGGGCCUCCUCUGACCUUGCCAAAGGACCAGCGAGAGGAGAAAUUUUCAAAAUCCCCUGAAGACCUUGCUUUUACAUAAGAGAAGAUGCCCGGGCCCUCCAGAGGCCGAAUUACACAACGAGCUUGAGGGCGUCUGAACAGGAACUACCAUUAUGAAACCUACUGGCCAGACACAAAGGCUGCACAUGUUGACUUUGGCAGCGGCUUCACAGGUGGCCCAGUUGGCGCAGUGGCAGAAAGCUCACCACCUCCUUGGCUGCUGCCAGCACCAUGGGGGGCAUGGAAGAGGGAUGGUAAACAGGAGAGCCAGCACUGCCUUCUUUCGUUUUACUCCAUGUGACAGAGGGGUGGGCACAGCCCGGAGAGGAAGAAGGUGAUCAAUGUUUAAUUCCCUACCAACUGCCAUUGGGAAGUAGAACAAAGGCAUAAGCCUCGGGGUUUUUGUUUUUACCUAGAAACUUUAAAUGAGAUCUCAUUUCCCUUGAAAUGAUUACCUCUUCAGGGAAAACACUUGUGAACCCAUAAGUUCUCUCUGAGCAAAGAGGCAGAAUGAGGUAGGGAGAAGAGAUGAACCGUGACCACCACUACCCCUUAAAUGCGAACUUGCUUUAUUAUUCUUUAAGAGGAAGAAAAACAUUGGAAAUCCCAAAUAGCUUCCUAAACAUUCAGGGAAAGUUGAUUUUUCCAGCAAUUGGCAACCGACCAUGCUCAUGGGAGAUGGUGAGGCCAAGAGGAGGGAUGAUAUCGUUAUCAGAAUAAGCACAGGCAUUAAAUUUUGUGUGCCCUCUAAUAUGAGAAGAUCUUCCCCAAAUUUAGUCAAGGAACAUCCCUCCCCCAACAGGCCAUUCAAUGACAAUAACAACAGCAACAGCAGCAGCUACCUUUUACUGAGCCGGUGAGUAAGGGCUGAGUCAGUUAUUCUCCAUCAUGUCUCUGCUGGCGCUGGGGACGAUCUGCACUCUCCUUGUUUACUGCCUUCCCCACUCAGUGUGCAGCUCCCCCAUAAGCAUGUAAGGUCACCUCUGAAAACCCAAGACCCAGAACGGUACUGCCAACCUAGUAAAGUCUCAAUGUGAUCUCAGAUUUGUCAAAAAACAGAUCAUCUCCAUCCUUCCAGGGCGGUUCCCAUUCAAUAAAAGAAGAGAAAUCAAGUAACACACUCAGGGUGUCUAAGGGGGGACAUUUCAGGUUUUGGUCCUUCAGCUACCAUUCUGUAUGUUCAGAACAGUUUGUUUCAGAAGUCCCGGGCAUUAAAGCAUCCUUUACAAUGUU